CUACACGACCGUACCGCAAACCGACACUGGUGCGCGAGAUGAGUAUUCUAAGGCGCUUGAGAGAACUCAGGAGAAGGAACUCGGCAAAUUGACACCGUAACUUCGGAAGAAGGUGUGCCUUUAGUAGGUGAACCUGUACAAGGGGAGCCCAAUGAGGUUGCAAAAAAUCGGUGGCUGCGACUGUUUAAUAAAAACACAGCACUCUGCAAACACGAAAGUGGACGUAUAGGGUGUGACGCCUGCCCGGUGCUGGAAGAUUAAAUGAUGGGGUGCAAGCUCUUGAUUGAAGUCCCAGUAAACGGCGGCCGUAACUAUAACGGUCCUAAGGUAGCGAAAUUCCUUGUCGGGUAAGUUCCGACCUGCACGAAUGGCGUAACGAUGGCCACACUGUCUCCUCCUGAGACUCAGCGAAGUUGAAAUGUUUGUGAUGAUGCAAUCUCCCCGCGGAAAGACGGAAAGACCCCAUGAACCUUUACUGUAGCUUUGUAUUGGACUUUGAACAGAUCUGUGUAGGAUAGGUGGGAGGCUUUGAAGUGUGGUCGCUAGAUCGCAUGGAGCCAACGUUGAAAUACCACCCUGGUGUGUUUGAGGUUCUAACCUAGGCCCGUAAUCCGGGUCGGGGACAGUGCAUGGUAGGCAGUUUGACUGGGGCGGUCUCCUCCCAAAGCGUAACGGAGGAGUUCGAAGGUACGCUAGGUACGGUCGGACAUCGUGCUAAUAGUGCAAUGGCAUAAGCGUGCUUAACUGCGAGACUGACAAGUCGAGCAGAUGCGAAAGCAGGACAUAGUGAUCCGGUGGUUCUGUAUGGAAGGGCCAUCGCUCAACGGAUAAAAGGUACUCUGGGGAUAACAGGCUGAUACCGCCCAAGAGUUCAUAUCGACGGCGGUGUUUGGCACCUCGAUGUCGGCUCAUCUCAUCCUGGGGCUGUAGCCGGUCCCAAGGGUAUGGCUGUUCGCCAUUUAAAGAGGUACGUGAGCUGGGUUUAAAACGUCGUGAGACAGUUUGGUCCCUAUCUUCCGUGGGCGCUGCAGAUUUGAGGAAGCCUGCUCCUAGUACGAGAGGACCGGAGUGGACACACCUCUGGUGUAUCGGUUGUCACGCCAGUGGCAUUGCCGAGUAGCUAUGUGUGGAAGAGAUAACCGCUGAAAGCAUCUAAGCGGGAAACUCGUUUCAAGAUGAGAUCUGCCGGGGCCUUGAGCCCCCUAAAGAGUCGUUCAAGACCAGGACGUUGAUAGGUCGGGUGUGGAAGCGCAGUAAUGCGUUAAGCUAACCGAUACUAAUUGCUCGUGCGGCUUGACCAG
rnacentral:rRNA from 1 species